AUCCGCCGCGUUCCUGUCGUUUCGCCGAUCGGCGUCGCGUCGCGCGGUUCUUGCCGUCCGUCGCGGGCGUGCUGGGACGUGCGUUCAAAUCACCGGAAUCAGCGGUUACCUUGCGGCGCAUGGUGUACUUGAAAAAAAAAAGAAACGAGAGCGGUAUUCUUUUUGCAAACAUUACUCAUAUGUAUAUUUUGUUCGAUAAGCCAAAGUCGAAGAAUUUAUUCGUUGAAGUGAUUAUCUCGAGUGAAAGCUGAUAUUGCAGUAUCUCGUCUUUCUAAUUGCAUUACACAAUAACAAAAAUAUAUGACUAAUAAUUCCUCGUAAUAAAACGUGCGGAAAAGUACUGAUUCGGAAACGCCGCAUUCUCCGGUGUUAGUCCGAGACGAAGCGUGAACACGUCGCUCAUAAGUUAUGCGUUUUGCGCUGAACACUCCCGCCGCAUUCCUCCGCUUCUGGAGCGAACGGAUGAAUCAAUUAAUGUUACAGAGUGUUCCGAGAAAUGUUUGCGCAGACGCUAAAAUUAAACAAUUGCGUUUUUUUCGACCUAAAUUAAGCGGCGGCGGAACAGUGCCUUCGGUAUCGACGUCGGGCUGCACCUGGCGAAAACAACGACUCCGUUUGAGAGGGCAUGACGCUGCACGGCCGUGAGCCUCGCGUGGGAGUAGCGUGAGGUCGAUGAAUCUGGUUGAAUCACGGUCGUCCUUAGUCCUCGCCGAUUCACCUUCCAGACCGAGCAUUGUGCGGAAGGCGCGGAUGAUCGUCACGUCAAAUCAAGAAUCGCGCGUCAUUCACUGGAACGCGCCGCUGCACCGUGCGUUGCAAAACGUGCGCUUAUCUUCCUUCAACCUAGAUACAUCGUGGAUUGGAAUACGGCGAUUCGUGGUAUACGCUGUCGCUUUGAAAUGAAUUUAUAUUAAAGGUACUUUGUAUUCGCGGUACAGAAAUCUUAAGCGGUUCGUUACGCGAGUCGUAUCUUUAUGUCUUCGCAGAAAAAAAGUACCAACGACAAUUGUCUCGAAUAAAUAUAAGCGAGAAUAUAAAAUCUUGAAAGAAUUUGACAGAUUGAGUAAUUUAAUGUUAUUUAAUAAAUUAAAAACUGUUAACAUUUUUUUUAAACUUUAUUAUUAUCUCACUUUUAAAUUAUAAUUAGUUAUUAUCCAACCCUGGAAUUUGAUAAUCUUAAAUUUCAGCAAAAUAUUUUUUUUAUUUCAAUAAUAUAGUAGUCAUUUAAAGAACAUAACAUGAUUAUUUUGACUGCAAUAGUAUUAAAAAAUUCUAAUUCUUGGUUCGAAGCUAUUGCUAUUUUCUUUCCAAUAUUUUUUCCCUCCGCUUCAAUGAAAUUUAUCAUUGAAUAAAGAUGAAUCUGUUUUUAAUGAUAAAAUUAUACCGAAUUUCUUCAUGUACAAUAAAUGCAAGUUAUGUCUAUUCAUCAAGUUCUUUAUCAAAGACUUUAUAUUGCUUAUAUGAGACAAUGAUUGUUGAUUUGAUAGUAAGUUGUUUUCUGUUCGCUCGCGACGAGACUCGAUUCAAUUUGGAAGAGUGUAUCUUUUCUAUACUAAUGCCCUUCUGAAUAAUAAAUUAUCGCAAAGACGAGUUGCAAUCUGAUUAUAAUUUUAUUGUACGGUUGUUUACACCUGCGAGAGAUAAAUGCGCGGUUAAUAAAAUAAUGUCAGCCUUAAUCUCGCGGCGUAUAAUUUAUAAUAGAAUAUGUCAUGGUCAACGUGCAUGUUUGCACGCACGUCUCUCACGUGAAUUGUGUAUUUAUAAAGGUGUUAUUUUCCUGCAAUGCAUAUGAGAGAUACGAAGAGAUAUUAAAAAUUAAGGACAUUUAUACAUUUGCGUCUAUCAUGAUGUAUCGCAUGCUUCGUUUUUACGAAGGAAAAUUAUUAGUAUACAACUCAGGUAUACCUAAAAGGUCAACGUGCUGCGAUAAAAUUCAACGUCGCUUUAGGAAUAAAAGGAUCGUCUGGAUAUUGAAAGCUCUAAUAGUUUUUUUUGGCACACAUUUAAUAGCUAGAUGUUAACGAGUUAACAUAAAAAAAUCUAGAAUUUAUGUUCAAAUAUAAAAAUCUUUGUAUAUCUCAAAACAAUAGAGAAAACAGAAGACAUUAAAAGAAAGGAAAAUAGAUAUAAAAUUUGAUGCAAUCAAAGUCCAUUGCAAAAUAACAUAGGGGCAUAUUUUUUCACACGACUAUGCAUACAUGGAUCACGUGUGCCUCUGUACAUAUCUAUAUGAAUUAUUUUACAAUUAAAAAUUUUAAUUUACAUAA